rnacentral:lncRNA from 1 species
UUCAGUUGAAAAUGCCACUAAUUCAGAAAUUAGUAAAUCCUAUUUAUUAUGUAUUUUACCAAUUAAUAGAAUACAAAGGUAUCAUAUACAACUACCAUGGAGGUGGCAGGAAGAAGAUUGACUUUUUCAAAUGGUCUUCAUACUGGAACAGAUUAAAAACCAAGUCUUCUUUCUUUUCCUCCUGGAGCCCUGGAGAUCAAAACUGUGGUGAGCUGUGAUUGCAUCAUUGCACUCCAGCCUGGGCAACAGAGCAAGACUCUGUCUCAAAACAAAACAAACAACAACAACAAAAAACCCCAAAAUAAAUAAAUAAAUAAAAAUGG